CUGAAGGCAUCUAAGCGCGAAGCAUCCCCCAAGAUAAGGCCUCCCUCCCCGAUUCAGUUCGAGGGUAAGACUGCAGCGAGACUAGCUGCUUGAUAGGCCGGAUGUGUAAGGCUGGGAACAGCUUCAGCAAACCGGUACUAACCAGUCGAGAGAUUUGACCCA
rnacentral:rRNA from 1 species